rnacentral:rRNA from 1 species
UACGGAGGGUGCGAGCGUUAAUCGGAAUUACUGGGCGUAAAGCGUAUGUAGGCGGUUUGAUCAGUCGGAUGUGAAAUCCCCGAGCUUAACUUGGGAAUGGCAUUCGAAACUAUCAAGCUAGAGUAGGCUAGAGGAAAGGGGAAUUCCGCGUGUAGCAGUGAAAUGCGUAGAUAUGCGGAGGAACACCAAUGGCGAAGGCACCUUUCUGGGGUCAUACUGACGCUGAGAUACGAAAGCGUGGGGAGCAAACAGG